rnacentral:lncRNA from 1 species
GCAGAAGUGUGUGAAUGGGCUGGACCAGACCUGAAACUUUUGUCCCUCCAACUUGUCUUUCCUUUUCAAGUUAACUGGCAGCUGAGACGUUCUGAAAGGAUACCACCAGGAUGCCACCCAAGAAAGUGCAAAUCCAAGUGGAGGAGAAAGAAGACGAUACUGAGGAAAGUUCAAGUAAGUGGGGUUGGACCCAGCUGAGAUAUGUUUCCUGUGGAAUAGCAGUGAAUUUAAGGGAUUCGUCCUCUUAUCUUGUGGGGAUAUGCAACUCCAUGCAAACA